rnacentral:misc_RNA from 1 species
GAAAUGCGAUAAGUAAUGUGAAUUGCAGAAUUCAGUGAAUCAUCUAAUCUUUGAACGCACCUUGCGCUCCUUGGUAUUCCGAGGAGCAUGCCUGUUUGAGUGUCAUGGAAUUCUCAACUCUAUUUGCUUUUGUGAAUAGAGCUUGGAUUUGGAGGUUUAUUGCUGGUACUUGUGAUCGGCUCCUCUUGAAUGCAUUAGCUCGAACCUUUGCGGAUCAGCUAUCGGUGUGAUAAUUGUCUACGCCGUUGCAGUGAAGCAUAUCAAUGGGCUCGGCUUCCAAUCGUCCUUUACUGGACAAUGACUUUGACCUUUGACCUCAAAUCAGGUAGGAUUACCCGCUGAACUUAAGC